rnacentral:rRNA from 2 species
GACUCUCGACAAUGGAUAUCUCGGCUCUCGCAUGAACCAUCGAUUCUUUGAACGCAAGUUGCGCCCCAAGCCUUCUGGCCGAGGGCACGUCUGCCUAGGUGUCA